ensembl:lncRNA
CUUAAUUGUGUCAUGCAUGUUAAUGUAAAAGAGGGCGGAUGUGGUCCAUCAGAUCAGGUACUUAUGCCCUGAAAACCUUAAAAAUGUGUAAAUCACCCAGUUACAUCUUGUCUACACAUUGUCUUAAGAAGGAGUCAUCUACCCUUCACCCUAAAGGGGAACAGGAGAUGAGAUCCAGGACGCAGAGAUCCAAUGUCUACAUGUUCCAAGUUCCAUGUUCCAAGUUCCUGUUAAGAAAAAUACAGGUAGUCACCUGGGACAUACCCAGUACUACACAGACAGUUACGCCCCCUCCAAAGGCUCCUGGGUGAAGAGGAGAAGAUGAAGAGGGACAACCACCCAAGA